rnacentral:sRNA from 1 species
GCACAGUGAUAACCGUGCAGGAUGAGAACCUGCAGCAGGUCCGACUGAAUCGCCUGCGAUUCAGGCUGAGGCGAAAGCCUCACCCGCAGGGCGAGGCCCGGCGGGCCGAUGGCCAUCCUGCACGACCCACCC